CGCGUUGACACCCCGCACUGAGCAGCGCAGGCAGGACAGGAGCGCACUAUGGUAUAAACUGGGAAUGCUGGGAUUUGGAAGCUUGUUUCAGAAGUCUAGGGAGAAAUCUGAGAGUCCAAGUGGUAAAGAGAAAGUGUGAACUUACAAACAGUGGCCCGUGUGCAGAAACAGUUGUCCAGUCAAAGCUUCCUGAAUGUCACACCGCCAUUCAGUCAUCCCUGAAGAGGCCCACUACAUCCAACUCUAAGUACAGACCAUGUGACUAUCAGAAAUACGUAAAGAAAUACUAUGAAUGUAAAAUGUGUGGUAAAGUCUUUAUGUGCCUUGGCUCCCUUAAGAAACAUAAAAAGACCCAUAGCGGAGAGAAGCCGUAUAAAUGUAAAUACUGCGAGAAGGCCUUCAGUUACCGCUACUGUGUUGACAGGCACAUGCUCACUCACAACACAGACAGGUAUAAGUGCAGGGUAUGCAGAAAGACAUUCUCUAACGCCAUUGCCCUUAGGGAACAUAAAGCGAUUCACUCCGGAGAGAUACCUGAAUGUAAGGAAUGUGGAAGAAUGUUCUGGACUUCCAGUUCCCUAGACUUGCAUAAAAGGCUUCAUACUACAGAAAAACUGUAUGAAUGUAAACACUGCGGGAAAGCCUUCACUGGUUACUGUUCUUUUCAACUGCAUAAGAGGACUCACACUGGGGAGAAACCUUAUGAAUGCAAGCAGUGUGGGAAA
rnacentral:lncRNA from 1 species